CGGUCGCUGCGGCCGGGCGACUGCGAAGGUGCGGGAUAGGGGGCCUGGGGCCGCGAUCCGUGACCGUUCUGGCGGCGGCGCUGAACCCCACAACAUCACCAGACGGCCGGGGCCAAGAGGGCGGGGGGGGGGGCGAGGGCGGGGGCGACAGCAGGUCCCCGCGGGGCCUGCAUGAGGAGGCUCCGGCGCCCGCCCUAGUAAAUCUUUCUUGGGCCUAGAAAACAUUGGUCCGACGAAGAAAAGUUGAGACUAGAUCCCGUUGAAAACUUGGCCUGAAAUCUCCAUUACUCCUGAGUUAUUGUCCCCACCACCAUCUAGAGGUUACCGCUCCCUGUUCGGCGUCGGGAGCUCCAGGGCUGGCCGUGGGUGCUGCGCCCUGUCUGUUGGGAUCACGAAGCUGCACCUCUGGGUCCGCUGUUGUAUUUGGAAAUUAGCAGCAGCAUUUUGAUCAUUUUUCUCUUCACCUUCCAGUCUCUCCAUUUAUGAGGUCACAGUGAGUCCCGUCUCAAGGACACGUGUUCACCAUGGGCUUAAACUUGAUGAAAGGAGCAGGGAGAAGUCGUUUAUAGGUCAUUGGGUGAUGCUUGCUCCUUUGAUGCCCUGGGUGUACCAGGGGACCCCCGCCACCUGGAAGCAGGUUCUGUCUACCUGUAGACACCUGAGAAAAAUCGGUGAUGGAAAAGCUCACCUCUAAUGAUUCAUCUCCGUGUCUCCUAUUAAAAUUGCUGGCGGAGUUCUUUUCUGGUGGAUUGGAACAGCUUGGUGAUUGCUGAGCAUCUCCCGUCCCUCUCUUUUCCAGUUUGUAUUUCUUAUCUGGGAAGAUUUUACCAGGACCUCAAAGACAGAGAUGUCACAUUCUCACCAGCCACUAUUGAAAACGAACUUAUAAAGUUCUGCCGGGAAGCAAGAGGCAAAGAGAAUCGGUUGUGCUACUAUAUCGGGGCCACAGAUGAUGCAGCCACCAAAAUCAUCAAUGAGGUAUCAAAGCCUCUGGCCCACCACAUCCCUGUGGAGAAGAUCUGUGAGAAGCUUAAGAAGAAGGACAGCCAGAUAUGUGAGCUAAAGUAUGACAAGCAGAUCGACCUGAGCACAGUGGACCUGAAGAAGCUCCGAGUUAAAGAGCUGAAGAAGAUUCUGGAUGACUGGGGGGAGACAUGCAAAGGCUGUGCAGAAAAGUCUGACUACAUCCGGAAGAUAAAUGAACUGAUGCCUAAAUAUGCCCCCAAGGCAGCCAGUGCACGGACCGAUUUGUAGUCUGCUCAAUCUCUGUUGCACCUGAGGGGGAAAAAACAGUUCAACUGCUUACUCCCAAAACAGCCUUUUUGUAAUUUAUUUUUUAAGUGGGCUCCUGACAAUACUGUAUCAGAUGUGAAGCCUGGAGCUUUCCUGAUGAUGCUGGCCCUACAGUACCCCCAUGAGGGGAUUCCCUUCCUUCUGUUGCUGGUGUACUCUAGGACUUCAAAGUGUGUCUGGGAUUUUUUUAUUAAAGAAAAAAAAUUUCUAGCUGUC
rnacentral:sRNA from 1 species